AACGGUCUAUACCUGCGGUACCUGCGGAAGGAUCAUCAAAGGAAAUCUUUUAUACAAGAAGUGUUGAGGGGGGGAGAGGUUGGUUGGUUGGAUGCCACCAGCAGCCCUCUUGCACUUCAACAAACAAACAAACGAUCGCAACUAGUAGAGCAGAAAGUAGAUAGAUAGAUGGAUGGAGGGGGGUGUUAGUAAAAGUGUUUGCCUGAUAAUCAGAUUGGAAUGGAUGAAUUGGAUGGAAAA
rnacentral:misc_RNA from 1 species